UAGCUCAGUCGGUUAGAGUGCUGGUCUGUCACGCCAGAAGUCGCAGGUUCGAACUCUAU
rfam:Nicotiana attenuata strain TT chromosome 8, whole genome shotgun sequence.